rnacentral:rRNA from 1 species
GCGGAGGAAAACAAACUAACGAGGAUUUCCUUAGUAACGGCGAGUGAAAAGGAAAAAGCCCAACGCUGAAUCCAAUAGUUAUUUAAAUUAUAUGGAAAUGUAGCGUAUAAGUAUAACUAUUCGUAGCAUAUUUUUACACCCAAAGUCCCCUUGAGCGGGGCUACAGUCCAUAGAAGGUGCUAGACCUGUACGGGUGAAAAAAGUUACGAUAUGUUAUACUUUGGAGUCGGGUUGUUUGAGAUUGCAGCCCAAAGAGGGUGGUAAACCUCAUCUAAGGCUAAAUAUGACCACGAGACCGAUAGCAAACAAGUACCGUGAGGGAAAGUUGCAAAGAACUUUGAAGAGAGAGUUCAAGAGGGCGUGAAACCGCUGAGAUGGAAACGGAUAGAGUUAACGAAACAUAUCGAUAUUCAACUAAUCAAUUUAGCAAAUCUUAAUUUCAUCUAUUAUUCAUUUUUGAAUAAAAUGAUAUCAUAAGAUAGAAGUGCUUUUAUAUGAUUAGUGUAUUUAUCGAUUGUAUGCAUUGAGAGCUUCAUUUAAGCAUAUUAAUACAAUCAUUUAGUGGACCAAUUUUUUAAUCUAAUAAUUAAUAAUUGGAAUCCUAAAUAAUGUUGAAAUAUGUCUUAGAUGAAGUUUAAAUAAUAAAAUGUAACUUUCACUUGAAAUAAUAGUGACAUGCAUCGAUUAUAAUUUUUACUAAUUACAUUUACAUGUGGUCGCAUGCGACUUAUCGGUAAAUGGAUGAAUUUUUUUAUAAGAAUUAGUAAAUUUAUAAUAUUGUAUGCAUACAAAGUUACAUCUCAAUGUGAACGUUAAUCACCUAUCUGACCCGUCUUGAAACACGGACCAAGGAGUCUAGCAUAUACGCAAGUUAUUGGGUAGUAAACCUAAUUAAUUAAAAAGCAUAAUGAAAGUAAAGAUUAUUCUAAAUAUAAUUGAUAUGUGAUCUAUAUACAUACAUAUAUAUGAUGUAUAUAGCGUAACAUAACCCCGUUCAUAUUGUUUUAUUACAAUAGGGCGGAGGUAGAGCGUAUAUGCUGGGACCCGAAAGAUGGUGAACUAUACCUGAGCAGGAUGAAGCCAGAGGAAACUCUGGUGGAAGUCCGAAGCGAUUCUGACGUGCAAAUCGAUCGUCUGACUUUGGUAUAGGGGCGAAAGACUAAUCGAACUAUCUAGUAGCUGGUUCCCUCUGAAGUUUCCCUCAGGAUAGCUGGAGUACGUUAUUAAAGCAGUUAUAUUCGGUAAAGCGAAUGAUUAGAGGAAUUAUGGGACGAAAUGUCUACAACCUAUUCUCAAACUUUCAAUGAGUAUGACGUCUUGCUUGCUUAAAUAAAUGAAUGAAGCAUAGACAUUGAAUGUGUACUCCAAGUGGGCCAUUUUUGGUAAGCAGAACUGGCGCUGUGGGAUGAACCAAACGUUGAGUUAAAGUGCCAAACUUUCCGCUCAUGAGACCCCAUGAAAGGCGUUGGUUGAUAUAGACAGCAGGACGGUGGCCAUGGAAGUUGGAAACCGCUAAGGAAUGUGUAACAACUCACCUGCCAAAUCAACUAGCCCUGAAAAUGGAUGGCGCUUGAGCGGAAGACUUAUACUCAACCGUUGCAUGGCUUGUGUUUUUAAAAUUUUAAAAAAAAAAAUCAAAAAAAAAAACCUGGCCGCAACGAGUAAGAGGGUCGCAAUGGUUAGCGUUGAAGACUUUGGGCGUAGGCCCAGUUGGAGCUUCCAUUGGUGCAGAUCUUGGUGGUAGUAGCAAAUAUUCAAGUGAGAUCCUUGAAGACUGAAGUGGAGAAGGGUUCCACGUGAACAGCAGUUGAAUGUGGGUCAGUCGAUCCUAAGAUAUUGGCUAAUGCCGUUUUGUAAAAAUAGAGGAAUGGAGAAUGUAAAUCCAUCUGAUUGAAUCGAAAGGGAAACGGGUUAAUAUUCCCGUACCUGGACACGGAGAUAAAUACUCAUUAUGAGAAUUUAGCGCGGUAACGCAAAUGAACUCGGAAACAUUGAAUAAAGCCCGAGCCAGAGUUCUCUUUUCUGGUUAAGGAACGGACUCCCUGGAAUCGGUUCAGCCGGAGAUAGGGACGUUGUUUCCGUAAAGCGCCACGGUUCCUGUGGUGUCUCGUGCGCUUUAUUCGAUCCAUGAAAAUCCGAGGGAAGCUAUUUGAAUUUCGUGCCAGAUCGUACCCAUAUCCGCAGCAGGUCUCCAAGGUGAACAGCCUCUAGUCGAUAGAAUAAUGUAGGUAAGGGAAGUCGGCAAAUUAGAUCCGUAACUUCGGGAUAAGGAUUGGCUCUAAGGACUGGGCCGGUCGGGCUGUAAUGUGAAGUAAGUAUGGUUUGAUCCAUGCAGUGUAACAUUAAUGAAUUAUUUUUUUUCCUAAGAAAGAAAUUCAUUGAUGAAACUCGGCUAGUUUGUUCGAACUAUCUUAUGGACCGUUAUAGCUUAUAUAUCACAUUUAUUUUAUUUUUUUUGAAAAAAUAAAAUGAAUGUUUAAAAUUGAUAUUUCGGCCGGUGUUAAACAGUUAACUUAGAACUGGCACGGACUCGGGGAAUCCGACUGUCUAAUUAAAACAGAGGAGACAGAUGGCCCUUGCGGGCGUUGACUGUCUCUGAUUUCUGCCCAGUGCUCUGAAUGUAAAAGUGAAGAAAUUCAACCAAGCGCGGGUAAACGGCGGGAGUAACUAUGACUCUCUUAAGGUAGCCAAAUGCCUCGUCAUCUAAUUCGUGACGCGCAUGAAUGGAUUAACGAGAUUCCCACUGUCCCUAUCUACUAUCUAGCGAAACCACAGCCAAGGGAACGGGCUUGGUAAACACAGCGGGGAAAGAAGACCCUGUUGAGCUUGACUCUAGUCCGACUCUGUGAAGAGUCAUGAGAGGUGUAGCAUAAGUGGGAGGUAUUUUAAUUAAUACCAUCAGUGAAAUACCACUACUUUCAUCGAUUCUUUACUUAUUCGGUAAAACGAGAAUUGAAAUAUUUAUUAAAAUAUUUCGAAAUUUUUGAUUUAAAUUAAAUUACUCGGUAAUUUAAUGACUUGCACCGAAGACAGUGUCAGGCGGGGAGUUUGACUGGGGCGGUACAUCUGUCAAAAUGUAACGCAGGUGUCCUAAGGCUAGCUCAGAGAGGACGGAAACCUCUCGUAGAGUAAAAGGGCAAAAGCUCGCUUGAUCUUGAUUUCCAGUACGAAUACAGACCGCGAAAGCGUGGCCUAUCGAUCCUUUUGAAUUAAUUAGAAGGUUUCUAGCAAGAGGUGUCAGAAAAGUUACCACAGGGAUAACUGGCUUGUGGCAGCCAAGCGCCCAUAGCGACGUUGCUUUUUGAUCCUUCGAUGUCGGCUCUUCCUAUCAUUGCGAAG